UCGCAGGUCUUAAACUGAAAUGAAGUAGCAGGAGUUCUGCUUUUAACACAUGGGAGUGAAUUAUUAUUCUCUGAUGUGAAUAAAACUCUCAGCUGGAGCAGUGUGUAAAGUACUAAGUAUCAUCCUUGCGGGAAUGUGAAGGAUAUCCAGAAGAAAAGAAAUCCAACAGGUUUGGAAAACAGUGAAAAUCAUGAAAGAAUUCCACUCUGAUAAUUCAUACUAUUUCAGCCUGAGGCUGCCAAAUCCACCUGGACAUAUCCACAUUUUAGGAUCAAUUGUGAGUGCUCUUCCAUCAUCAGAGAGCGUGUGGAGAGUGAUACAUGCAACUAACACUCCGUGGGAGCAGAGAACUGCCAAGAGCUGGUGCAAACACAGGAAGCUGCCAGCAGCCUUCUCUCUGUCUAUGAGAAGUACUAUAAAGCAGCAGGGAAUUGGAAUCUUUUGUCUUCUCAGCCUUCAAAUACUUCAAAUUAUGGAAGGCAGCAGGUCUAGUGUUAGGACUUCCUCUCUUCCUCUCACCUUAAAACUCACUGUCCAGGAAAGUAGAAACUGAGUUCCAUAAAUAUAUAAUGAGAAAAAGAAAGGUUGCUGUCAACUCAUAUGUGUUGUAGUGGUUAAUGGCACUAUAGAUCUCAAGUGCUGACUUCCUUUUGGAAAACACUGUUACUUUUGUCAGUUGUGCUUCCGUACUCAGCCUUUUCCUCAAAAAGGCCAGUGUGUAGAGAAGGUUAAAAUUAGUAAUAAUAAAAUAAAUUAAUCAAUCUUUAAAAUGCUGAAAGGAGAAAAAAGAGUGAGGUGUCAAUAGAAGAGAUACCAAAACUAGAGAAAGAAGGAAGACUGUGGGUAACU